AAGCCAGCAGGAGCUUCAGGCCAUUAAGAGCCUUAUGCUACUCAGCAACACUCACAAAAAUGUCAGUGUUGAAAACCAGCUUCUGGCACUUAAAGAAGUGAACACCAGACAAAAUCUGGAAAUCCGAGGCCUGAAAUGCAAAAUCAGCAGCAUGGAGAAAAGCUUUCGCUUAAUGGAGGAAAAACUUUACAAAGUGGAGAACAAGUUGAACAAAG